rnacentral:rRNA from 1 species
AUACGGGGGGUGCAAGCGUUAAUCGGAAUUACUGGGCGUAAAGCGCGCGUAGGCGGUUUGCUCAGUCGGAUGUGAAAGCCCAGGGCUCAACCUUGGAACUGCAUACGAUACUGGCAAACUAGAGUGUGAGAGAGGAUAGUGGAAUUUCCGGUGUAGCGGUGAAAUGCGUAGAUAUCAGAAGGAACAUCAGUGGCGAAGGCGACUGUCUGGCUCAACACUGACGCUGAGGUGCGAAAGCGUGGGUAGCAAACAGGAUUAGAAACCCCAGUAGUCC